rnacentral:misc_RNA from 1 species
AAAAUGCGAUAAGUAGUGUGAAUUGCAGAAUUCAGUGAAUCAUCGAAUCUUUGAACGCACAUUGCGCCCUUUGGUAUUCCUUAGGGCAUGCCUGUUCGAGCGUCAUUUUCACCUUCAAGCACAGCUUGGUGUUGGGUGUCUGUCCUGCCGUCGGCAUGGACUCGCCUUAAAAUAAUUGGCAGCCACUUCAGCGGCUUUGAGCGCAGCAGAAUUGCGUCUCUAGCAGUAGAAGGUAGCCCCCCAUAAGCUUUACUUUUAUAUUUUGACCUCGGAUCAGGUAGGGAUACCCGCUGAACUUAA